UUGACUGGGUGGGUUCCUGGAUUUUGGAGUCCUUUCCCCUUCAAAACCAACGCGCGAUGAGAAUAAAAAGCGUCGUCGCCGGUGGCCGCCGCCGUAGUAUUACGCCUCGUCCCACUCCGUCCAUCUCUCCGAUUCCUAAUCUUUCCACCGCUAAGGACAACCACAAUGCAACCGUCUACAACAGCAUCGACAACCACACAGACGCUCCAAUUCCCGAUUUCGUUCCCGAUACCGACACCGAAGAUUCGUUAGACGAUAAAAGUUGCAUUACUUGCAAAACAGCCGGAGGAGCAUUACUGGUAUGUACUCAAACUGAUUGCCACAUUGCUGUUCACUACAAUUGCAUCGGUUCCGAACCUAAUUUCGAUGAUUCUGGAAACUUCUUCUGUCCUUACUGCUUCUACAAACGAGCCUUGAAGAAAACUAGAGAAUUAAGAGAAAUAGCUGUUAGAGCCAAAAAUGUUCUUUCUAGUUUUUUGGAUAAAGGCCAAACAGUGCUUAAAGAUAACGAAAAUCGCCCUAUCAAACCUGUCAAACUGGAACCGGUUCAGGAUCAACCUGUCAAACCGGAACUGGCUCAGGAUCAUGUAAACCGGAAUGGCCAAACAGUGCUUAAGGAUAACGAAAGCCACCCUAUCGAACCUGUCAAACUGGAACCGGUUCAGGAUCAACCUGUCAAACCAAAACUGGUUCAGCAUCAUGUAAACCGGAAUGAACAUGAACCGGAAGUUUCUGAGAAAGGAAAAGAACACAAUGAUAAUGAUAAUGAUAAAGAUAAAGGAGAGGUUUCUUUAUCGGAGAGUUCGGUGGGUGGAUCUACUAAAGAUUCGGAUUCAUCGUUUUGCAUAUCGGUGAAGAAAGGUCAUACCAAUGCUAAACGGAAGGUUGCACCGGUGAAAAAAUCUUUGUUACCGGAACGAAAAGCUGGUGGUGCUGAUGCUGCUGGUGAUGAUGGGGAGGAGGAGGAAGUUACCAGUUCUAGAAGAACCACAAGUCGACGAAAGCAAGUCAAGAAGCAGAAGUUAUUUACUGUAAGGCGUAGGAAUUUGUUUUGGACAGCCGAAGAAGAAAAGGCUCUCAAGGAAGGAGUAUCAAAGUUCGCAACAGAAAAUCAGAAUAUCCCUUGGAAGCAAAUUUUAGAAUUUGGUUGUCGUGUGUUUGAUAGCACUCGUACUCCUAGUGAUCUCAAGGAUAAAUGGAGGAACCUCAUGAAGGAAGGUCUUUGUAUGUAGCUUUUUGAUUCAAGACCACUGGUAAAGAGGAUGUAUGUUAGGAGGAAUUGGAGAUAAUACUCUCUACCUAGGCCAAUAAUGACAAAAGCCAGAGGCUUGCAUAUGAUCCAAGUAGAACUUGUGGAAACCUAAGUUUCUUACCAUUAACGGCUACCGAGGCUUUGAUUACAUAAUGGCAAAAAAAAACGGAGGAAGGAUCUGAGUUACUAAAGAAAAUCGACGUCAUAUCCAUGUUUUGCAUUGAGUUUUAUGUAUAUAAUUGCAUGCCCCAAGAAUGUUGUGCAAAGUCUUGUUAAUUUACCUCUGCUAGAGUUCUGAGAUAUAUAUCUGAUGCACGACGAAUUGUAAAAAUGGGAUAUACUAGUAACUCAAUAUCCUCGUCCAGAAAAUUUAAUCACCGACGAGUAGUUUUUGAAUUCAUGUGGUGUGAUGAAUGUUCAAACAAAGGCAUUUCAUUCGGUGUAAAAA